UGGGGAAUAUUGGACAAUGGGCGCAAGCCUGAUCCAGCCAUGCCGCGUGAGUGAUGAAGGCCCUAGGGUUGUAAAGCUCUUUCACCGGUGAAGAUAAUGACGGUAACCGGAGAAGAAGCCCCGGCUAACUUCGUGCCAGCAGCCGCGGUAAUACGAAGGGGGCUAGCGUUGUUCGGAUUUACUGGGCGUAAAGCGCACGUAGGCGGACUUUUAAGUCAGGGGUGAAAUCCCGGGGCUCAACCCCGGAACUGCCUUGGAUACUGGAAGUCUUGAGUAUGGUAGAGGUGAGUGGAAUUCCGAGUGUAGAGGUGAAAUUCGUAGAUAUUCGGAGGAACACCAGUGGCGAAGGCGGCUCACUGGACCAUUACUGACGCUGAGGUGCGAAAGCGGGGGGAGCAAACAGG
rnacentral:rRNA from 1 species